ensembl:scaRNA
GAUCUGCAAUCUUGGAGCCGCACUGGGUUGGUGGUACCCCAGAGCACACCAGACUUGCAGAAAAAGCAGACUCCAGAGGAAGCUGAGGCAUGACUGCUCAAGAGCCAGCAGUUCCAUGUGCAAUUUUCCUCUGAUAGUUCCUGGGUACUGUUGCCACGGUGAUAAUGGCUGUGCCGUGUCAUUAUCUAUCACCCGACAGUAAGAGAAACUUUUGCGGUCAGAUAUUGUUUAACAGAUGGAGUGGUUUCUGUUGGACACUAAGUACUGCUACAAAC